rnacentral:rRNA from 1 species
AUGGCCCACCAAGGCAUUGAUGGGUAGUUGGUCUGAGGGGACGACCAGCCACAUUGGGACUGAGAUACGGCCCAGACUCCUACGGGAGGCAGCAGUGGGGAAUCUUGGACAAUGGGGGAAACCCUGAUCCAGCGACACCGCGUGGGGGAUGAAGGCUUUCGGGUUGUAAACCCCUUUUCUGGGGGAAGAAUAAGGUUGGGAGGAAAUGCCCAUCCGAUGACGGUACUCCAGGAAUAAGCAUCGGCAAACUUCGUGCCAGCAGCCGCGGUAAGACGAAGGAUGCGAGCGUUAUCCGGAAUUACUGGGCGUAAAGGGCGUCUAGGCGGUUGGGUAAGUCACUUGUGAAAGCCCUCGGCUUAACCGAGGAAAGUCUCGUGAUACUGCCCAGCUUGGGUGUAGGAGAGGGGAGUGGAACUCACAGAGUAGCGGUGGAAUGCGUAGAUACUGUGAGGUACCCCGAUGGCGAAGGCAACUCCCUGGCCUACUACCGACGCUGAAGCGCGAAAGCGUGGGGAGCAAAGGGGAUUAGAUACCCCCGUAGUCCACGCCCCAAACGAUGUUCACUUGGUGUCGGCCGCAAAUAUAGGUCGGUGCCGGAGCUAACGCGUUAAGUGAACCGCCUGAGGAGUACGGCCGCAAGGCUAAAACUCAAGAGAAUUGACGGGUCCCCGCACAAGCGGUGGAGCACGUGGUUUAAUUCGAUAUUAAGCGAAGAGCCUCACCCAGGCUUGACAUACUAGUGGUAGGAACCUGAAAGGGGGACGACCCUGCCUUCGGGUAGGGAGCUAGUACAGGUGAUGCAUGGCUGUCGUCAGCUCGUGUCGUGGGAUGUAGGGUUAAGUCCCGAAACGAGCGCAACCCUUGUCGUUAGUUGCCAGCGGGUAAUGCCGGGGACUCUAGCGAGACUGCUGGUGAAUAGCCGGAGGAAGGCGGGAUGACGUCAAGUCAUCAUGUCCCUUAUGCCUGGGGCGACACACAUGCUACAAUGGGGGGUACAGAGGGUCGCAAUACCGUAAGGUGGAGCCAAUCUCAAAAAACCCUCCUCAGUUCGGAUUGAGGUCUGCAACUCGACCUCAUGAAGCCGGAAUCGCUAGUAAUCGUAGGUCAGCCAUACUACGGUGAAUAUGUACUCGGGGAUUGUACACACCGCCCGUCACACCAACCGAGUGGGGGGUACCUGAAGUCGUCUCCAUGAGGCGCCGAGGGUAACCUUCGCAAGAGG